rnacentral:tRNA from 1 species
GGGCGCGUAGCUCAGCCUGGUAGAGCACAUCGUUCGCAACGAUGGGGCCUCGGGUUCAAAUCCCGACGCGUCCA